rnacentral:lncRNA from 1 species
CCUACGGUAAGAUAAAGUAAUGAUCCAAUUAUACCUCUAUAAAAUUUUUGAUUAACACUUUUACCAUCUUUAUCUUUGUCAAGUUUGUAUGAGAGACUCGUGGGUGUUCUAAUUGCUUUUACACUCUCCAUCCCAAACUUCUUAAGUAUCUCCUUGAUGUACUUGCUUGGUUGAUGAAGAUUUUUUCUUUUAUUUAUUUAAUUUGAAGACUGAGAAAAAAAUUUAGUUCCUCCAUCAUACUCAUUUCAAAUUCUCUCC